CCCUGAUGGACCAUUACCGUUGUAGUCUAUGCGAGGAUGUCCGUCGGGAGCUGGCCUGUAGAGACACCACCCUCACCUUUGACCAGCUGGAGGACAUGUCCAUCAGGCUGGACAACAUGCUGGCUACUCGUGGACGUCUAGAUCGGGGUCUGGUUGUUCCAUCCUCCCGCACCCUCUCUCCUGAACCAAUGGAAUUGGGAGGGAUGGUGCGCAGGGAGACCGGAGGGGGUUCCUGCUCGAGCAUCAUCUAUGGUCGCAGAGAGCACACUGCUGGUCGUUGCCGGGUUGGUUCCUCUGGGCAUAGAGAAGGCAGGCAGGGCACUCUGGCAUCACCCCAGGGCAUCGGAUUUCCACUUCAGGAGUGGAAAUGGAGAGCGACUGCAUUGCAGCCGUGCGUAAUUGGCCGACUCCAACCACGGUAAAGGAGGUGCAGC
ensembl:lncRNA